GGCCAGCCUUGUUCUGCGCAUCUGCCGGUCCAAGGUUUGGUCAUCCGUAGGGGAAACAGGUACGCACUUUAAUGGGCGGCCUGCGGAACCUACAAUUUACUGUGAAAAAAUUAGAGUGUUCCAGGCAGGCAAUCGCUUGAAUACUCCAGCAUGGAAUAAUGGAAUAAGACUUUAGUCGAUUUGUUGGUUUGAGGCUAAAGUA
rnacentral:rRNA from 1 species